UCUACGGGAGGCAGCAGUGGGGAAUAUUGGACAAUGGGCGCAAGCCUGAUCCAGCAAUGCCGCGUGUGUGAAGAAGGCCUUCGGGUUGUAAAGCACUUUUAUCAGGAGCGAAACUACUGUCGGCUAAUACCCGGCGGAACUGACGGUACCUGAGGAAUAAGCACCGGCUAACUUCGUGCCAGCAGCCGCGGUAAUACGAAGGGUGCAAGCGUUAAUCGGAAUUACUGGGCGUAAAGCGUGCGUAGGCGGUGAGUUAAGUCUGCUGUGAAAUCCCCGGGCUCAACCUGGGAAUGGCAGUGGAUACUGGCUCGCUAGAGUGUGUCAGAGGAUGGUGGAAUUCCCGGUGUAGCGGUGAAAUGCGUAGAGAUCGGGAGGAACAUCAGUGGCGAAGGCGGCCAUCUGGGACAACACUGACGCUGAGGCACGAAAGCGUGGGGAGCAAACAGGAUUAGAUACCCUGGUAGUCCACGCCCUAAACGAUGCGAACUGGAUGUUGGUCUCAACUCGGAGAUCAGUGUCGAAGCUAACGCGUUAAGUUCGCCGCCUGGGGAGUACGGUCGCAAGACUGAAACUCAAAUGAAUUGACGGA
rnacentral:rRNA from 1 species